rnacentral:lncRNA from 1 species
GUUAGGAGCAGUUAACCUCUGCAGCUUCCAGGGAGAGCGCUAACAUUCAAUAUAUGCCAAACCCGGCCCAUUAGGUUGAAUAAUGAGUGAGUAUAUCUGAAGCUUUGUACCAGACAAGAUGAAAACAGAUUGGGCAGGCUAUUGUACCACACUUUAUUACCUAGUGAAAUGUAAUUUGAUCCAUUUGCAGGAGGAAGAACCAAGAUGCUUGUUUCAGAAUUCAAUUGCUCCAGAAAGAUGAAACCUAAGAAGAGAAAUGUAUCUUUGAGAUCCUACCGUGAUUUUGAGCGUGUCUCCAAGAGCCCCUUGCUGCAGGAGCAGUCUCAUUUCUGUCAGAUGUCAUGUCAGUCCUGGUCACUUAUCAGUGCUGAAUCCAAAAGUUGUCAGGAAUCUGGAACCUUCUGGAAACAGAAUAUUUAUGCUGCCUGGUGGGUUCUGUGACCUGUGCUACUCCAGCUGGCAUCCUGGUGAGAGGAGUCACAGCAGCCAAGCUUGCUAAAGCAGCCCUUCAGAAACACAGAGAAGUCAGAGGAACACCAGCUCUCAAAGAUUCAUUUCCAACCAAAAUUUCUAUUUCAGACAGCAACUCUUCCCCCAGUGCCCCUCUCCUGCAGUCCAGUGACUGGCACAUGUAACCAGCCCAUGACUGAAAUCCUGUGUUUUAUUUGGAGCAGGGCUCUGAAAUAAAUCACUGACACUUCCA